rnacentral:rRNA from 1 species
CAGCAGCCGCGGUAAUACGUAGGUCCCGAGCGUUGUCCGGAUUUAUUGGGCGUAAAGCGAGCGCAGGCGGUUAGAUAAGUCUGAAGUUAAAGGCUGUGGCUUAACCAUAGUACGCUUUGGAAACUGUCUAACUUGAGUGCAAGAGGGGAGAGUGGAAUUCCAUGUGUAGCGGUGAAAUGCGUAGAUAUAUGGAGGAACACCGGCGGCGAAAGCGGCUCUCUGGCUUGUAACUGACGCUGAGGCUCGAAAGCGUGGGGAGCAGACAGGAUUAGAUACCCCAGUAGUCCCUGUCUCUUAUACA